rnacentral:rRNA from 1 species
AACGAACGCUGGCGGCAGGCCUAACACAUGCAAGUCGAGCGGACCUUUCGGGGUCAGCGGCGGACGGGUGAGUAACGCGUGGGAAUAUGCCCUUCUCUACGGAAUAGUCCUGGGAAACUGGGGGUAAUACCGUAUACGCCCUUUGGGGGAAAGAUUUAUCGGGGAAGGAUUAGCCCGCGUUGGAUUAGGUAGUUGGUGGGGUAAUGGCCUACCAAGCCGACGAUCCAUAGCUGGUUUGAGAGGAUGAUCAGCCACUGGGACUGAGACACGGCCCAGACUCCUACGGGAGGCAGCAGUGGGGAAUCUUAGACAAUGGGGGCAACCCUGAUCUAGCCAUGCCGCGUGAGUGAUGAAGGCCUUAGGGUUGUAAAGCUCUUUCAGCUGGGAAGAUAAUGACGGUACCAGCAGAAGAAGCCCCGGCUAACUCCGUG